UCAUCUUCGGGGGUAGAGCACUGUUUCGGCUAGGGGGUCAUCCCGACUUACCAACCCGAUGCAAACUACGAAUACCGAAGAAUGUUAUCACGGGAGACACACGGCGGGUGCUAACGUCCGUCGUGAAGAGGGAAACAACCCAGACCGCCAGCUAAGGUCCCAAAGUCAUGGUUAAGUGGGAAACGAUGUGGGAAGGCACAGACAGCCAGGAUGUUGGCUUAGAAGCAGCCAUCAUUUAAAGAAAGCGUAAUAGCUCACUGGUCGAGUCGGCCUGCGCGGAAGAUGUAACGGGGCUAAACCAUGCACCGAAGCUGCGGCAGCGACACUAUGUGUUGUUGGGUAGGGGAGCGUUCUGUAAGCCUGCGAAGGUGUGCUGUGAGGCAUGCUGGAGGUAUCAGAAGUGCGAAUGCUGACAUAAGUAACGAUAAAGCGGGUGAAAAGCCCGCUCGCCGGAAGACCAAGGGUUCCUGUCCAACGUUAAUCGGGGCAGGGUGAGUCGACCCCUAAGGCGAGGCCGAAAGGCGUAGUCGAUGGGAAACAGGUUAAUAUUCCUGUACUUGGUGUUACUGCGAAGGGGGGACGGAGAAGGCUAUGUUAGCCGGGCGACGGUUGUCCCGGUUUAAGCAUGUAGGCUGAUUAUCCAGGCAAAUCCGGAUAAUCAAGGCUGAGGUGUGAUGACGAGGCACUACGGUGCUGAAGUAACAAAUGCCCUG
rnacentral:rRNA from 1 species